CCGUGCUUCCUUACUUCCCAUAGUGCUUUAAACGUAUGGAAUGUAAAGAAGUAUGGAG
rnacentral:pre_miRNA from 1 species